UUUGCCCCGCGUUCCAUAUAAAGGAGGGCGGCGAGCAGAGUGCCACGGUCGAGAGAGAUGUCGACGCCCCCCUUGGCGAUCCUGCGAAUCCGGAGGAGGAGGAGGAGAAGGAGCCCGAGGGGAGCGAGGAGAUGCAAGCAACACGGAGACGAGGUAACGCGCUCCAUCCCGUUCUUGACUCCUCUGCUUCUUGAGUUGGUCUGUCGAUGUCUUCUCUCCCGUGGGUUUGCUCGUUCGCUCCCAUCGCUCGCUUGUCGCCGCGAAACCAAAGGACGAGGCGGUUUCUUGAAUUCCUCCUCUUCAUGCCUCGAGUUCUCGAGGCGGGUUCUUGAAUUCCUCUUUCGCAUGGGUUGUCUUGUUCCGAUUGUCUGUCGAUGACAGAAGAACGAGGCGCCUCACAGAAGCGAGGAGGAGAAGGAGCCGGAGGAGCUGGAACACGGAGAUACCCUCGUAAUGCGUUUUAUCCAAUACUUUUAGGGUUUCUUGAAUGCUUCCUCCUCAUCCGUAUGCCUUUUGUGUGAUCGCCGAAGUGCCCGAGAGCAGCGUGGAGAAUUAUGAGCCGGAGGUGCUGGAGUACGGAGCAAAAGGUACUGCGCUUGCAACUCGACUUCUGCCCCCUACUCUUCCGCACGAUCGAAUCGUGCCAUUUCAACCAUUCUCUUUGAUCGCAUACCAGCUCUCGUCCUUUCUCACCCGAGCUCCAUAACUCUGUUUCCUUCUUCUCGAGCAAUUUACUUCAACAAAUCUUCGUUUUGUUAUCUGCCGCCCAUAAAUCUCUGUUUAGGUUCCUUGUGUCUAAAGCUCCAACAAGGAUCUUUGUGUUUCUUUGAUGAUUUCCCGUACCGAGAUGAAGAAACCAAUCCGCUGUCUGGCUGACCAUACUUCCAUUGCAGGAGAGCCUUGCAGCACUAGAAACAGACUAUGCAACAGCCAGCCUCAUCAUCCAUUAGAAAAUCAAAAUUAAUUAAGUCAAGUUUCACCGAUCCUUUUUUGUGAUUGCAUAUCAGACAUGUUCGAAAACAAGAAGCAGAAGAAAGGGCCACCGCCGUGUGCAUGGCGUCCACCGACCAUAUUAGUUAGAACAGCAUCAGGUACUUGGUAGUGUUGUUGCGGAGUGCGCAAACCCUCGACCGCGCAUUUAGAGCCAGCCAUAACAAAACAAAAAAGGGUUGCUCGAUUCAACCCAACCAACGGAUUUGUCCCCUAUCUUGAAUCCGUUUUUGCAGAUGAUGCAGUCUGCUUGUACAUGCAUAUCAAUCACACUUUGAUACAACACACGCUGUGUGAUUCGAAGCCUAAGUUUCAGAUCUAUCAAACUUCCUUUUUUCUUUAUUUCAUUGGAUAACUUGUUGGAAUUGUUGGAUCUGCAAUCGCCUUCCUCAUCUCCAUUUAUAUUACGAGUUCUUCUGAUGCUGAUCUCGAGUCUACUGAACCUCGUUGAUAUGCUUAUCGUAUUCUAAUUAAUAUAACUUGGAGGCAAAUGCAAGUUUUUUUUAUCACUUUGAGCUAUAAAUAGUUUAUUGGUUGUGAACUAUUACAUAUUGGUACGAUAAAUUUUGGUUUUCCGAGAGACACAUGGAUGGGGUUUGGAGUCAACAAAAUCUAUCCGAUGCUUAAGCUAAUAAGGACUUAUUACAUGUCGAAAUUAAACAAUUGUAUUCAUAUGACUUUGAGAAUGCAACCGAGGACCUUUUUAUAACAUAAUGGAUGGUUAUUGAGUUGAGACCGUGGUAAAUAUUGGGAACAAUUAUGUAUGUCAUUACUCUAAGGGUUACAAAGUAAUGGAUUAGUGAAUUAUUUUUUUUAUAAACACUGUGUAGCAUACCUUAUGGUGUCGAGUUGACAUCCUUAUCGGUGUCAUAAUAAGUUCAAGUCCCGUCUAAUGUGUUAGUUGAGUGGAAAUAUGAUGUCAAUCAAAUGGAAGCAAUGUUGACGUUAUGAUAGGUUCGAGUCUCGCAUUACGUGUUAGUCAAGUGAAAGCAGCAUGUUGAUUAGGGGGAGACAAUGUCGAUGUCACGAUAGGUCCGAGUCUCAAUAUCAUGAUAGGUUCAAGUCUUGUCUAACGUGUUAGCCGAGUGAAAGCAAGAUAUUGAUCAAGUGGAGGCAAUGUUGAUAUCGUAUUAGUCGAGUGGAAGCAAGAUGCUAAUCAAGUAGAGGCAAUGUUGAUGUCACGAUAGGUCCGAGUCCCGCCUAACAUGUUAGCCGAGUGGAAGCAAGAUGUCAAUCAAAUGUCAAUCAAAUGGAGGCACUGUUGAUAUCACAAUAGAUUCAGGUCCCGCCUAACGUAUUAGUCGAGUGGAAGAUGGAUAUUGAUCGAGUGAAGGCAAUGUCGACAUCAUGAUAGAUCGGAGUCCCACCUAACGUGUUAGCCGAGUGAAAACUAGAUGUUGAUCAAGUGGAGGCAACAUUUCCACCAAGUUACUUGAUAAUUAAGCAUUAGGGAUAGCUUAUGUAUCAUGUUUCUUGGAUAUCAUAUAUGUAUCAAACUUCAAAAUAGCAUAAUAGUGCUAAUUUAUGACGAAGUAAUUGAUUUCAGGUUUAGUUGCCAAGUUUCAACAGCCCAGUGGAAAAAUGAAGACUUAGUGGUAAAUUCGAUGAGAAGGCCAGAUGAUCUUUGUUAUUUUGAGGGUUAUCUAUGUAUGAUCUAUGAUUAUAGAAUUACGGGGGUGCAAUAAAGCUAUGCCGUCAUAUGCUGAGUUAGAAGUUUAGGUCGGGGACAAAAGUACCUGAGAUGGGCAUGACAUGAUGAUCCAUCAGAUCAACAUAUAUCAUCACAUCAAGCGAUGCAGCGUUGAGGUGCCCAGGCAUGCAACUCGGCAGAUCCAUGACCAUGUAAUCGUUAGCUGGAGUGUGUUGAGCACCUGACCGUCUCCUCAUCUGUUCCGGCUAAUCAUGCAGCCUAAGCAAUCAUUUGGUGGACGAUUGCAUCCUUUUUCCAGUGGGAGGCUCGAGUUCUUAUGGAUUUGGAUCGGGCCACGUACGUGCAAAUGACAUCAAGCACUCGAGUCCAUUUCUCCCCAAUUAAUGCUCUCCUCUCAGGUGGCGUGGCUGUCACACCACAAAGAGACACCGCUGCCUCCCUCUGUCUCUCUCUCUCUCUCACUCAUGGCCUCUGUGCUCGUGCGCGUGUGAAGACAACACGGGCCACAUCUGAA
rnacentral:lncRNA from 1 species